GGCGUGCCUAUACAUGCAAGUCGAACGAGUUCUGAUUAUUGAAAGGUGCUUGCAUCUUGAUUUAAUUUUGAACGAGUGGCGGACGGGUGAGUAACACGUGGGUAACCUGCCCUUAAGUGGGGGAUAACAUUUGGAAACAGAUGCUAAUACCGCAUAAAUCCAAGAACCGCAUGGUUCUUGGCUGAAAGAUGGCGUAAGCUAUCGCUUUUGGAUGGACCCGCGGCGUAUUAGCUAGUUGGUGAGGUAACGGCUCACCAAGGCAAUGAUACGUAGCCGAACUGAGAGGUUGAUCGGCCACAUUGGGACUGAGACACGGCCCAAACUCCUACGGGAGGCAGCAGUAGGGAAUCUUCCACAAUGGACGCAAGUCUGAUGGAGCAACGCCGCGUGAGUGAAGAAGGCUUUCGGGUCGUAAAACUCUGUUGUUGGAGAAGAAUGGUCGGCAGAGUAACUGUUGUCGGCGUGACGGUAUCCAACCAGAAAGCCACGGCUAACUACGUGCCAGCAGCCGCGGUAAUACGUAGGUGGCAAGCGUUAUCCGGAUUUAUUGGGCGUAAAGCGAGCGCAGGCGGUUUUUUAAGUCUGAUGUGAAAGCCCUCGGCUUAACCGAGGAAGUGCAUCGGAAACUGGGAAACUUGAGUGCAGAAGAGGACAGUGGAACUCCAUGUGUAGCGGUGAAAUGCGUAGAUAUAUGGAAGAACACCAGUGGCGAAGGCGGCUGUCUGGUCUGUAACUGACGCUGAGGCUCGAAAGCAUGGGUAGCGAACAGGAUUAGAUACCCUGGUAGUCCAUGCCGUAAACGAUGAAUGCUAGGUGUUGGAGGGUUUCCGCCCUUCAGUGCCGCAGCUAACGCAUUAAGCAUUCCGCCUGGGGAGUACGACCGCAAGGUUGAAACUCAAAGGAAUUGACGGGGGCCCGCACAAGCGGUGGAGCAUGUGGUUUAAUUCGAAGCAACGCGAAGAACCUUACCAGGUCUUGACAUCUUCUGACAACCUAAGAGAUCAGGCGUCCCCUUCGGGGACAAAAUGACAGGUGGUGCAUGGUUGUCGUCAGCUCGUGUCGUGAGAUGUUGGGUUAAGUCCCGCAACGAGCGCAACCCUUAUGACUAGUUGCCAGCAUUCAGUUGGGCACUCUAGUAAGACUGCCGGUGACAAACCGGAGGAAGGUGGGGACGACGUCAAAUCAUCAUGCCCCUUAUGACCUGGGCUACACACGUGCUACAAUGGAUGGUACAACGAGUUGCGAAACCGCGAGGUCAAGCUAAUCUCUUAAAACCAUUCUCAGUUCGGACUGUAGGCUGCAACUCGCCUACACGAAGUCGGAAUCGCUAGUAAUCGCGGAUCAGCACGCCGCGGUGAAUACGUUCCCGGGCCUUGUACACACCGCCCGUCACACCAUGAGAGUUUGUAACACCCAAAGCCGGUGGGGUAACCUUUUAGGAGCUAGCCGUCUAAGGUGGGACAGAUGAUUAGGGUGAAGUCGUAAA
rnacentral:rRNA from 1 species